AAAAUAAAAACAAUACAAAAAGAAAUUGAAAGAGGAAUAGGGAUAGAGGUUGUGACGACUGAACUUCUAUGGACAAAGCUAUUCUCUGACGACGGCGCCGUUCACAAAAUGCUCUUCUCUGAUUUCCAUCCGCCGUCGGUGUUCGUCUCUGUCCUCACUUUCGCGACCGCUAUCUCAUCUCUUAUCUCACGUAGUGAACUCCUCUGUCCCUCUCUUCAGAUUCCGCGAUGCAGCUCAAAAAAAAGAAACCUCGUCUUUCAUCUCUUCUUCGCUCAAACUCAGCCGUCUAAUCAUCUCUCACCAUCAUCAACUCCAUGA